rnacentral:lncRNA from 1 species
UUUGGUCGACGUUUACACAGAGCCAGGAGAAGGGUUCUUUUCAAAACCCUAAACUCACUAAAAUCCAUCAAAAUCUAAGGGAAAUCGAGUUGGAAAUUAGGGCUUUAACUAAAUUCAUGAUCAACCAUGCUAGGAGAUCACAAGUUGACUCUAAACAAGCUAGGUGGGAGCUUGGAAAGGAACGGGUCAAACGGAUCAUGGAUGCGAAGAAUGUUUGCGCGAACGCGAGGUAAGUAAAGCUUACGCCCAAUUGUAGUAAACGUAUGUAUUUUAUAUAUGAUAAAUGUGACAACCGAUUACAUUCGAAAUUGAAGUUCCGACACUAAGCGAUGUGAGUCGGAACGAAUAAAAAUGAUCAAAACCAUGGUUAAUGGUAAAAUGGACAAAAGGGUAAUUUAGUCGUGAAUCGACUAAGAAUUUAUAAGAUUUCUUUAAGGUUACCUUAUAGCGAAACUUGAAAUGGGUCGGAUGUGUGAAGGGGAUAUUAAAAGUCAUGUUUUGACAUAAGUAUAAAUGUUUGGUCAUAAAUACCAAAUGGGUCAAAUGGUGGUGAUGACACCAUUUGACAAUAUCGACUAAUGUUUGGUUGUUAAGUUAAAUGUUCACAGGAGUGAACGGGAAGUGGAUUAUUGCGUUGCUAUAAAGUAGCGGCUAAUAAAAGAAAGGUACAAAACGGGUCUAUAUGUUGACUCGAGCCAGGUGAAUGCCAAGAGUGCCCGGAUGAAGAUCAAGCUCGAUGAGGAACCGAACACAAUAAAAUCUAACACUCGGGAUUAAAGCUUCCGCACGGCGUUACGCCAUAUCUUUUAAAUGACGAACUUAUUUAUAUUACGUUGAAAACUUUUAAGUUGUAAAAAGUUUUUUUUUGAUUACUUGUAUUUUCUAAGAAUACUUAAUCGCAAUUUCAUGUUUAUUUUCGAUAUUUAUACGAAAACCUUAAAAAUUAUAACAUGGGUGUUACAAGUUGGUAUCAGAGCCUUGGUUUAAGAGAUUCAAGUAUGGUGUGGAAAACCAUGCUUGGACUUAAACCUUACGCUCUUGAUAAAGAAUAGUGUUCGGUUCGAGGCUUGAUCGCAAAUCCGGUAAGUGCAUGUAUGCUGAUGGUCUAGUGUAUUAAAGUAUUGUAAAUAACACAUAGGGUUACCGUGUAAUACACAUUACCCCAACUAAAUGAUUGAUAUAGUUGACAAAAAUACGCGCGUUGACGCUUAUAGUAGAAAAAGCCUUGUAUUAUAAUACAGGGGAUUAUUGAAGUUGACAUUACUAACUUUUGUGAAUGUCUUGAUUUAAGGACACUUGCAUUUAAAGAUGACAAAGGACAAACAAAUUAAGGAUGU